rnacentral:rRNA from 1 species
GGUGGUAAUGCCGGAUGCUCCGGUUGGAUGCAUGUCCUUCCGGGAAAGAUUCUAUCGGUAUGGGAUGGGGUCGCGUCCUAUCAGCUUGAUGGCGGGGUAACGGCCCACCAUGGCUUCGACGGGUAGCCGGCCUGAGAGGGCGACCGGCCACAUUGGGACUGAGAUACGGCCCAGACUCCUACGGGAGGCAGCAGUGGGGAAUAUUGCACAAUGGGCGCAAGCCUGAUGCAGCGACGCCGCGUGCGGGAUGGAGGCCUUCGGGUUGUAAACCGCUUUUGAUCGGGAGCAAGCCCUUCGGGGUGAGUGUACCUUUCGAAUAAGCACCGGCUAACUACGUGCCAGCAGCCGCGGUAAUACGUAGGGUGCAAGCGUUAUCCGGAAUUAUUGGGCGUAAAGGGCUCGUAGGCGGUUCGUCGCGUCCGGUGUGAAAGCCCAUCGCUUAACGGUGGGUCUGCGCCGGGUACGGGCGGGCUGGAGUGCGGUAGGGGAGACUGGAAUUCCCGGUGUAACGGUGGAAUGUGUAGAUAUCGGAAAGAACACCA